rnacentral:rRNA from 1 species
UACGAAGGGGGCUAGCGUUGUUCGGAAUUACUGGGCGUAAAGCGCGCGUAGGCGGCUUUGUAAGUUAGAGGUGAAAGCCCGGGGCUCAACCCCGGAAUUGCCUUUAAGACUGCAUCGCUAGAAUCCAGGAGAGGUGAGUGGAAUUCCGAGUGUAGAGGUGAAAUUCGUAGAUAUUCGGAAGAACACCAGUGGCGAAGGCGGCUCACUGGCCCGGUACUGAACGCUGAGAUACG